rnacentral:lncRNA from 1 species
UUGCGCACAGUUUCUUCUGUUGUUUCAGAUCGCACAGUUUCUUCUGUUGUUUCAGAUCCAGAUGAAGCUUCUAAGCCAACACCCGACUUGAGAACUGGCAAUUCUUAUGUUUAUGAUCCAGCUUGUUCACUGCCUCACCUUAAUGACUCUUAUUAUCCUGGUUCUAUACAAUACCCAUAUCUUUAUCCCGAAAACAGACUACAGAUACAGAAAGAUCAGAAGCCCCAAAAGAAUCCGUGAGAGUUUAGGUUGGAAAUGCAAGUGUAGUUCUUG